GCAGCCGCGGUAAUACGGAGGGUGCAAGCGUUAAUCGGAAUUACUGGGCGUAAAGCGCACGCAGGCGGUUUGUUAAGUCAGAUGUGAAAUCCCCGGGCUCAACCUGGGAACUGCAUCUGAUACUGGCAAGCUUGAGUCUCGUAGAGGGGGGUAGAAUUCCAGGUGUAGCGGUGAAAUGCGUAGAGAUCUGGAGGAAUACCGGUGGCGAAGGCGGCCCCCUGGACGAAGACUGACGCUCAGGUGCGAAAGCGUGGG
rnacentral:rRNA from 1 species